rnacentral:rRNA from 1 species
AGAGUUUGAUUAUGGCUCAGGAUGAACGCUAGCUACAGGCUUAACACAUGCAAGUCGAGGGGCAUCAUGAUCAAAGCUUGCUUGAUUGAUGGCGACCGGCGCACGGGUGAGUAACGCGUAUCCAACCUUCCCCCCAGUAGGGCAUAGCCCGGCGAAAGUCGGAUUAAUACCCUAUGUUUUCCAAUGAGGACAUCUGAGCUGGAACAAAGAUUUAUCGCUGGGGGAUGGGGAUGCGUCCGAUUAGGUUGUUGGCGGGGUAACGGCCCACCAAGCCCGCGAUCGGUAGGGGUUCUGAGAGGAAGGUCCCCCACACUGGUACUGAGACACGGACCAGACUCCUACGGGAGGCAGCAAUGAGGAAUAUUGGUCAAUGGGCGUAAGCCUGAACCAGCCAAGUAAGCGUGCAGGACGACGGCCCUAUGGGUUGUAAACUGCUUUUAUGCGGGGAUAAAGUGAGGUAUGUAUACCUUUUUGUAGGUACCGCAUGAAUAAGGACCGGCUAAUUCCGUGCCAGCCGCCGC